CACGGACCGCACGAACGUUAUUCGGUAUCACUGGGCUUAAAGGGUGCGUAGGCGGCUUUGCAAGUUGGGUGUGAAAGCCCUCGGCUCAACCGAGGAAUUGCGCUCAAUACUGCCGAGCUCGAGAGAGACAGAGGUAAGCGGAACUGAUGGUGGAGCGGUGAAAUGCGUUGAUAUCAUCAGGAACACCGGUGGCGAAGGCGGCUUACUGGGUCUUUUCUGACGCUGAGGCACGAAAGCCAGGGGAGCGAACGGG
rnacentral:rRNA from 1 species